rnacentral:lncRNA from 1 species
CAUUCAUUCAAAAAGCCUGAUGUCUACAGAUGCCAUUCUCUUUUUCCUAGCAUUUUUUCCAAUACAUUUUUCUGAGUAACAUCGACUCCAGAGCAUCAUAACUAGCCUCCCCUAAGAGGAGGAGACCUGGGUCGCCCCCUAACCCUGAUGUUCGGGCAUCGAUGACCCAUGUAGCAUGCAUAGGUACCCAAGGGAGUCACCACCCUCUGGUUUACGAGCUAGGUGUUCUAACGCUAGAGGCUUCGGCCGGAUACGACCUGGCACCCAAGCUCCGAGACUUCUUCGUGCACGUAUUCCGUGACCCUCGAAGAGGCAGGGGGCGGGAUAUCGGACACAUUGAAGAUGAUGAGGGGGGUCCGCCUGUAGGGGGUCCCGGUGGAUGUCCGCUCGAUGGGUGACGAGGGUGACCCGAGACGAGGCUGCUUAGCUGGGAUGGGAACUGACUGGUGAGGCUUAAUCGUCGCCCAAGGGUCAAAUCUGAUGAAGGGGGACGAACUUAUAUGCUCUGGAGGUUUUUUCUUUAUGUGCUUGAGUCAUAUUUUGACUAGAUAUUCUUUAGAGGUGGCCAAGCAUAAUCUUUAGUAAAUUUUCCAGUUUUUAUUCACCACAUGCUUCUCUAUUUUUUAAGUAUCAUCUAAUACUUUUUUCUUCGCCUUCUUUUUGGUCUACCUCUCUAUUUUUGUCUACCAUAUAUUCUUUAUUAUUGGAAUAUCAUUCAUCAGUUCUAUAUAUGCAUGUAUACUCUUCUAAUUACUAAUAUAUAAUAAUAUCUGUAUAUUUUUGUGAUUCUAUUCUGUUUUAUGCCAUUUUACCCACUACCCACCAUUUAUUUCAAUGCAUCAUAUAUCUAUUUCACUAUUCUUCUCCCAUACAUUCUUCCUUAUGGGAAUGUCAUCUUUCAAUUCUAUGAACUCUGCUUCUUUUGAUUGUAUUUAUAAGUCUUUGUAUAUGUAUAAUUGAAUUUUAAUUCUCCAUACCUCUAUUUCUAUAUUUUUCUACUAUAUUAUCUUCAUUCUGUGAAAAUUAUUAUUUUAUGUAUUUCUGAAUUAUCGGUGAUCAUUUGCUUGUAUCAUUUUUUUGUAUCAUCUCAUUAUGUGUCAAGACUUCUCCAAGGUAUUUCUAUUGUUAUUAUAGAGCUGUAAUUUUGGAAUCAUUUUCAAUCACUUUUUUCAAAUAAUCGUACCAUACAGAGUAAAACUUAAUUAUUCUUAAAUGUAAUCUAUUAUUUGGCUUUUGUGGUUGUACUUAUAAAUCUCUUUAUUUAUAUUAUUGUUUAUAUUACUGCUAUUCUCCCUCUAAGGCUUCCAAGUCUUUAGUUUCAUUUCUAUUGAUGCUUACAUAGAAUUGUAUAGUUUCGGAAUUAUUUCUAAUUGAUUUUCUCUUCAUUUUGUUUCUAAAUCCAUUUAAAAUUGAGUUUUUGGAUGCGAUAUUGUACUGCUUUGGAACAAGGAUUUUUUGGAACAGCUGCACUUCAACCACCCACUUCAAGAUGCCAUCAGACUUAUUAAAUUCAAGAUUUAACAGUGGAAUGAGGAUGAAAUUCAUCAUUGAAGAGGAAUCUAAUUAAUUUUAGAACCAAGACUUUCCACAAGGGUAGCCGGAAGAUUGAUUUACCUCAACAUAGACAUCGGCAUCUCCAUCAAGACCUUGGAUUUUAAUAUACAUUUUAUAUUAAUAUUGUUAAUACAAACUAAUAUGUUAAUAAAGAGUCG